UAUCUACUCCCUCCGUUCGGAAUUACUUGUCUCGAAAAUGGAUGUAUCUAGAACUAAAAUACGUCUAGAUACAUCCAUUUCUGCGACAAGUAAUUCCGAACGGAGGGAGUAAUAG
rnacentral:pre_miRNA from 1 species